AUGUCCUCUACUAACAAACACGUCCCCUCCAGGCUGCCGUACCUGUCCUCUACUAACAAACACGUCCCCUCCAGGCUGCUGUACCUGUCCUCUACUAACAAACAUGUCCCCUCCAGGCUGCCGUACCUGUCCUCUACUAACAAACAUGUCCCCUCCAGGCUGCUGUACCUGUCCUCUACUAACAAACACGUCCCCUCCAGGCUGCUGUACCUGUCCUCUACUAACAAACACGUCCCCUCCAGGCUGCUGUACAUGUCCUCUACUAACAAACACGUCCCCUCCAGGCUGCCGUACCUGUCCUCUACUAACAAACAUGUCCCCUCCAGGCUGCUGUACCUGUCCUCUACUAACAAACACGUCCCCUCCAGGCUGCCGUACCUGUCCCCUACUAACAAACAUGUCCCCUCCAGGCUGCCGUACCUGUCCUCUACUAACAAACAUGUCCCCUCCAGGCUGCUGUACCUGUCCUCUACUAACAAACAUGUCCCCUCCAGGCUGCUGUACCUGUCCUCUACUAACAAACAUGUCCCCUCCAGGCUGCCGUACAUGUCCUCUACUAACAAACACGUCCCCUCCAGGCUGCUGUACCUGUCCUCUACUAACAAACAUGUCCCCUCCAGGCUGCUGUACCUGUCCUCUACUAACAAACAUGUCCCCUCCAGGCUGCCGUACAUGUCCUCUACUAACAAACACGUCCCCUCCAGGCUGCUGUACCUGUCCUCUACUAACAAACAUGUCCCCUCCAGGCUGCCGUACCUGUCCUCUACUAACAAACACGUCCCCUCCAGGCUGCUGUACCUGUCCUCUACUAACAAACAUGUCCCCUCCAGGCUGCCGUACCUGUCCUCUACUAACAAACAUGUCCCCUCCAGGCUACCGUACCUGUCCUCUACUAACAAACACGUCCCCUCCAGGCUGCUGUACAUGUCCUCUACUAACAAACACGUCCCCUCCAGGCUGCCGUACCUGUCCUCUACUAACAAACAUGUCCCCUCCAGGCUGCUGUACCUGUCCUCUACUAACAAACAUGUCCCCUCCAGGCUGCCGUACCUGUCCUCUACUAACAAACAUGUCCCCUCCAGGCUGCUGUACCUGUCCUCUACUAACAAACAUGUCCCCUCCAGGCUGCCGUACAUGUCCUCUACUAACAAACAUGUCCCCUCCAGGCUGCCGUACAUGUCCUCUACUAACAAACACGUCCCCUCCAGGCUGCUGUACCUGUCCUCUACUAACAAACAUGUCCCCUCCAGGCUGCUGUACCUGUCCUCUACUAACAAACACGUCCCCUCCAGGCUGCCGUACCUGUCCUCUACUAACAAACACGUCCCCUCCAGGCUGCCGUACCUGUCCUCUACUAACAAACACGUCCCCUCCAGGCUGCCGUACCUGUCCUCUACUAACAAACAUGUCCCCUCCAGGCUGCCGUACCUGUCCUCUACUAACAAACAUGUCCCCUCCAGGCUGCUGUACCUGUCCUCUACUAACAAACAUGUCCCCUCCAGGCUGCCGUACCUGUCCUCUACUAACAAACACGUCCCCUCCAGGCUGCCGUACCUGUCCUCUACUAACAAACACGUCCCCUCCAGGCUGCCGUACCUGUCCUCUACUAACAAACACGUCCCCUCCAGGCUGCCGUACCUGUCCUCUACUAACAAACACGUCCCCUCCAGGCUGCCGUACCUGUCCUCUACUAACAAACAUGUCCCCUCCAGGCUGCCGUACAUUUCGUCUGUUCCUGUGACUUUGAACUACACACAUGUCACAUGUAGUAUACAUGAUGCUGUCUUUCUUCUGUGCUCUGUGUUUGUGUAUUUGUGUGUGUUUGUGGUUGUGUGUGAUAUGUUGUGUGUAGGGAGGUCUCACUCUGCUGUCUUUGGAGCGUCUGAAGAGAGUCUCAUUUGA
ensembl:lncRNA